CAGUAGCCGCGGUAAUACGUAGGUGGCAAGCGUUGUCCGAAGUUACUGGGCGUAAAGCGCGCGUAGGCGGCUUCUUAAGUCUGAGGUGAAAGCCCCCGGCUCAACCGGGGAGGGUCAUUGGAAACUGGGAAACUUGAGUGCAGAAGAGGAGAGUGGAAUUCCACGUGUAGCGGUGAAAUGCGUAGAGAUGUGGAGGAACACCAGUGGCGAAGGCGACUCUCUGGUCUGUAACUGACGCUGAGGAGCGAAAGCGUGGGGAGCGAACAGGAUUAGAUACCCCUGUAGUCCCUGUCUCUUAUAC
rnacentral:rRNA from 1 species